AUCCAGGGAUGUGAAUCGAACCCACAAUGUUCCGCUUACCGGGCAGAUGCCAUGUCCACUAGGCUACCCUGGA
rnacentral:tRNA from 1 species